CCUACGGGAGGCAGCAGUGGGGAAUUUUGGACAAUGGGCGCAAGCCUGAUCCAGCCAUGCCGCGUGUGGGAAGAAGGCCUUCGGGUUGUAAACCACUUUUGUCAGGGAAGAAACGGUCUGAACUAAUACUUUGGACUAAUGACGGUACCUGAAGAAUAAGCACCGGCUAACUACGUGCCAGCAGCCGCGGUAAUACGUAGGGUGCAAGCGUUAAUCGGAAUUACUGGGCGUAAAGCGUGCGCAGGCGGCUUUGCAAGACAGAUGUGAAAUCCCCGGGCUCAACCUGGGAACUGCAUUUGUGACUGCAUGGCUAGAGUACGGUAGAGGGGGAUGGAAUUCCGCGUGUAGCAGUGAAAUGCGUAGAUAUGCGGAGGAACACCGAUGGCGAAGGCAAUCCCCUGGACCUGUACUGACGCUCAUGCACGAAAGCGUGGGGAGCAAACAGGAUUAGAUACCCUGGUAGUCCACGCCCUAAACGAUGUCAACUGGUUGUUGGGAGGGUUUCUUCUCAGUAACGAAGCUAACGCGUGAAGUUGACCGCCUGGGGAGUCGGCCGCAAGGUUGAACUUAAGGAAUUGACGGCGNGAGAGNGCGAGACGACGACGAGGAGGAGG
rnacentral:rRNA from 1 species